UUGUAAUGAGGCUGGGCUAACAAGAAGAAUUGGUUUUUCUGGAAUGCAAAAUCCUUGAGUUAAGAGAGCGACCAUAGUAUUCAACAUUUAAGCACAACUCUCUUCCUCACCAAUCUCACUUAUUCCCAACUUUUUCCAUUUUCUUUUGCAUUGAGCCCAUCUUCAUGCUUUUUUUUUCUUUUCUUUUCUUUUUCUCAUGUAUUUUUCUUUUACAACAUUUGAGCUCAAUGCUUUUCAAUUGCCUUCCAAUUUCCCCCAUGCAACCCCAAACUUGAACCUUUUCAUCGCAUGCAAUUAAGCUCAUCCCAACUCAAGGUAAAGAAUUUCAAGACAAGGGUUCAC
rnacentral:lncRNA from 1 species